rnacentral:rRNA from 1 species
AAUGAACGCUGGCGGCAUGCCUAACACAUGCAAGUCGAACGAAGGCUUCGGCCUUAGUGGCGCACGGGUGCGUAACGCGUGGGAAUCUACCCUUAGGUUCGGAAUAACAGUUGGAAACGACUGCUAAUACCGGAUGAUGACGUAAGUCCAAAGAUUUAUCGCCUAGGGAUGAGCCCGCGUAGGAUUAGCUAGUUGGUGUGGUAAAGGUGCACCAAGGCGACGAUCCUUAGCUGGUCUGAGAGGAUGAUCAGCCACACUGGGACUGAGACACGGCCCAGACUCCUACGGGAGGCAGCAGUGGGGAAUAUUGGACAAUGGGCGAAAGCCUGAUCCAGCAAUGCCGCGUGAGUGAUGAAGGCCUUAGGGUUGUAAAUCUCUUUUACCCGGGAUGAUAAUGACAGUACCGUGAGAAUAAGCUCCGGCUAACUCCGUG